UAUUUCACAAAAGAAAUAGUUUCUGCUUCUGAUUUUUGAAAAACAUCUGUGAUGAUAGUACAAACGUUGAGGCAUCGAAAGUUGGCGUUUCCUCUUAAGAUGCGAAGAUGGUGGCAAAGAGUGGAAGCGCAAAAAGAAGGAUCCUAACCACGGUAGAAGGUUUUGUAGACGAAAAGGACGUAAAUAUUUUCGAAAGCAAUGAAUUCCGAGUCUGGCAUAAGAGAAAAGCCGCGCGGACUGGUCGACUACGCGUGCUGGCAAAGCCACUGUCAAAAUACUUUGGAUAAUAAGGAUAAAGAAGAAACGCCGCCGCUGUGCGUUGUCUGAUCUUGAGAUUGCUUUAUUUGAAUCCGUUAAACACACUCCGCGAAUAUUUUUCGGUCCUACCUCGAAGCCUCGUCGCCCAUGAGCACACAGAGGCGUAACAUUAAACAUCGAAAUAAUGCAAUCUCAAAGGUAGGAUCAACCGAUAAAUAUAAUCGGUCGUUGAAAUUUGUCUGGUGCAACGUCGCGAGACUCCGACUGCACCUGUACCGUGGCAUGAGACUACGGUGGCCGUGGUAGUAGUAUUAAUAGUAGUAGUAGCAGCAGCAGCAGUAGUAGCUUAGUUCUUUUCUCUUUUUUCCUUUCAUGGUCAGUUCUUCUUCUUGUUGUUCUCUCUCUUCUCCACCUUCGACUACAUUUCAGUCUCCUCGUUCCAGCUGUACUUUAAAAGCAUCUACUUAUGCAGCCACCGGAAUGACGUUUCGGACGAGCUGCGAUAUAAAUCAGUUACUUCCGACAUCGGCCUUCAUUCACGACAAAGUUUGCCCAUUAGGGAAACGUUUAAAUAGAUAGCCAAGCCGACAAGUUCGCCAUAGCGUCGAUUUCAAUAUCGCACGACCGAUCGCCACUAAUCGGCCGAGUCGCACUUUUGGAAUCCAAACAGUCGCCAGGUUAUCGAUGAGAAUGAAAAUUCAAUGUUGUAGAAAGGGUAGGUGCCGACAAUGACACACCAGUGGCGCCGACCUGAAAUCAUAGCGAUAAAUCUAUUUUCCAUUAUUUCAUAGAAUCUCUGAAAAAUCAGUAUCUCUUUUUUUAUUCUCACGACCAUACACAAUCCUUUACGUACGGGAACAGAGGGGUUAGCCAACCCUUGAAAUAAUUUCAACGUUUUCAGGGAUACUUUUUGUUCUCGCUCUAAGCUACCUGAACAACAGACUCUCCACGUAUAUCCGAAGCUCCACAAGGUUAGGAUUUAAAUGGCGCGCGCCAUAAACCACACACGCUAACCUUCAAAAUGUUCCUGUCUGUUUGAUCAUCGGUAUGGCAGUACUACAGGGUGGUCUGGCGGAAGUCCAUUGAACGAACCCUGCCAACGAGUCUACAUCGUUUUCCUUCUUACCACCAAGUUCCUCCAAGUCAAUAGCACUUGAUGCGUGCUGUCGCGAAUACUUUUGGAUUAGAAGCAGAGUGUCCCGAGGGAAUCCCUGGACGUCGGCCUGGAAAUCAAAGAGCCUGAGGGUUCCCAUCGAUUCAAAGUCCUCCAGGCAGGAAUAUAAUAUCACGCUUGUCGUAACGAGAUGACGCAAUGAUACGGACGAAUGGUUUGUUUGUAUGUCGUAAAUGAAAUCCGCUUAGUAUGAUUGAGAUGCUGUAACGUGUACCAUUGUCAAAUGGAAGGGUGGAACUGGUUGUCAAUCGCUUUUGAAAUUAUUGACUUCAAGAAUGGGAAACGACGCACUUUUUUGGACAGAG